rnacentral:rRNA from 1 species
AACGUAGGUUCCGAGCGUUAUCCGGAUUUACUGGGCGUAAAGCGCGUUCAGGCGGUUUGGCAAGUCGGGCAUGAAAUCUCUCGGCUCAACCGGGAGAGGUUGUCCGAUACUGCUGGACUUGAGGGCAGUAGAGGGUGGUGGAAUUCCGGGUGUAGUGGUGAAAUUCGUAGAUAUCGGGAGGAACACCAGUGGCGAAGGCGGCGACCUGGGCCAAUAUUGACGCUGAGGUGCGAAAGCGUGGGGAGCAAACAGG